rnacentral:misc_RNA from 1 species
UUUAAGAGAUACGUGUUAUGUGCAGUGCUCACACAGAUUGUCUGAUGAAGAACGAGCAAAAGCGCGUCUGCGAAGCUGACAAAAGUCCCCUUCGUCUAGAGGCCUAGGACACCGCCCUUUCACGGCGGUAACAGGGGUUCGAAUCCCCUAGGGGACGCCAAUGCGCGGUAUGAGUGAAAGGCGUACCACUUAUCUGACGAGAGUCAGAGAAUAACUAAGCUAAUUCAAACGAGUUAUCUUACUUAUUAUGCUCUUUAACAAUCUGGAACAAGCUGAAAAAUUGAAAACAAAUCAAUAUAUCAACGAGGUAUAUUGGUGAGUCUCUCAAAAUCUCAAACCUUAAAGUUUGUCACGCAAAGUUUAUCUUUGAAAGAGACACUUUCGGGUUGUGA